GAGUUUGAUCGUGGCUCAGAUUGAACGCUGGCGGCAGGCUUAACACAUGCAAGUCGAACGGUAGCAGGGAGAAAGCUUGCUUUCUUUGCUGACGAGUGGCGGACGGGUGAGUAAUGCUUGGGAAUCUGGCUUAUGGAGGGGGAUAACGACGGGAAACUGUCGCUAAUACCGCGUAGUGUCGAGAGACGAAAGACUGGGACCGCAAGGCCGGUUGCCAUAAGAUGAGCCCAAGUGGGAUUAGGUAGUUGGUGGGGUAAAGGCCUACCAAGCCUGCGAUCUCUAGCUGGUCUGAGAGGAUGGCCAGCCACACUGGAACUGAGACACGGUCCAGACUCCUACGGGAGGCAGCAGUGGGAAUAUUGCGCAAUGGGGGCAACCCUGACGCAGCCAUGCCGCGUGAAU
rnacentral:rRNA from 1 species